ensembl:snRNA U6 U6 spliceosomal RNA
GGUAUUAAACUAUAUGCCAAAAUAGAUCAAUACAGAGAAAAUUAGCAUGACCUCUACACAGAAAGGACACAGAAACCUAUAAAGUAUUUAAUAUCUUU